rnacentral:rRNA from 1 species
UGGGGAAUAUUGGGCAAUGGGCGAAAGCCUGACCCAGCAACGCCGCGUGAAGUAUGAAGGCCUUCGGGUUGUAAACUUCUUUGAUCAGGGAAGAAACAAAUGACGGUACCUGAAAAACAAGCCACGGCUAACUACGUGCCAGCAGCCGCGGUAAUACGUAUGUUGCGAGCGUUAUCCGGAAUUAUUGGGCUUAAAGGGCAUCUAGGCGGUAAGACAAGUUGAAGGUGAAAACCUGUGGCUCAACCAUAGGCUUGCCUACAAAACUGUUGAACUAGAGUACUGGAAAGGUGGGUGGAACUACACGAGUAGAGGUGAAAUUCGUAGAUAUGUGUAGGAAUGCCGAUGAUGAAGAUAACUCACUGGACAGAAACUGACGCUGAAGUGCGAAAGCUAGGGGAGCAAACAGG